UACUAGUGAUGUGGGCAAUUUGUGAGGAGACUCUUCAAUCUCUCCCAGGCCUGAUAUAAAUUCUCCUUAGGCUUCUACUUGAAGCCCAAUAUUUCACUUAUUAACUU
rfam:Capsicum annuum cultivar Zunla-1 chromosome 7, whole genome shotgun sequence